UACGGAGGAUGCGAGCGUUAAUCGGAAUUACUGGGCGUAAAGCGCCCGCAGGAGGUCAAUUAAGUCAGAUGUGAAAUCACAGGGCUUAACUUGGGAAUUGCAUCUGAAACUGGUUGACUAGAGUAUGGUAGAGGGAGGGAGAAUUCCAUGUGUAGCGGUGAAAUGCGUAGAUAUGUGGAAGAAUACCGGUGGCGAAGGCGCGCCCCUGGACCAAGACUGACGCUCAGGUGCGAAAGCGUGGGGAGCGAAAAGG
rnacentral:rRNA from 1 species